rnacentral:rRNA from 1 species
AUUGAACGCUGGCGGCAGGCUUAACACAUGCAAGUCGAGCGGAGGAAGGUAGCUUGCUACCGGACCUAGCGGCGGACGGGUGAGUAAUGCUUAGGAAUCUGCCUAUUAGUGGGGGACAACAUCUCGAAAGGGAUGCUAAUACCGCAUACGUCCUACGGGAGAAAGCAGGGGAUCUUCGGACCUUGCGCUAAUAGAUGAGCCUAAGUCGGAUUAGCUAGUUGGUGGGGUAAAGGCCUACCAAGGCGACGAUCUGUAGCGGGUCUGAGAGGAUGAUCCGCCACACUGGGACUGAGACACGGCCCAGACUCCUACGGGAGGCAGCAGUGGGGAAUAUUGGACAAUGGGGGGAACCCUGAUCCAGCCAUGCCGCGUGUGUGAAGAAGGCCUUAUGGUUGUAAAGCACUUUAAGCGAGGAGGAGGCUACUCUAGUUAAUACCUAGGGAUAGUGGACGUUACUCGCAGAAUAAGCACCGGCUAACUCUGUGCCAGCCGCCGCCGAAA